rnacentral:rRNA from 1 species
ACCUGCCCACUGAAAUAUUUUAAAUGGCCGCAGUAAUUUGACUGUGCAAAGGUAGCAUAAUCAUUAGUUUUUUAAUUAAAAGCUUGUAUGAAUGGUUGGACGAGAUAAAAUCUGUCUUUAUUUAAAUAAUAUUAGAAUUUAAUUUUUAAGUUAAAAAGCUUAAAUUUAUAUAAAAGACGAGAAGACCCUAUAGAUCUUUAUAUUAUUAUAUUAUAAUUUUAAUCAAGAAUAUUUAAUUUUUUAUUUUAUUUAAUAUUUUAUUGGGGUAAUAAAAAGAUUUAAUAAAUUCUUUUUGAUAUUUUACAUUAAUUAAUGAAUUUAUGAUCCAUGUUUUUUGAUUAUAUGAUUAAGUUACCUUAGGGAUAACAGCGUAAUUUUUUUUAAGAGUUCAUAUCGAUAAAAAAGUUUGCGACCUCGAUGUUGGAUUAAAAAUUGUUUUAGGCGUAGAAGUUUAAAAAUUUGGUCUGUUCGACCAUUAAAUUUUU